CCUUUGACGUUAGCGGCGGACGGGUGAGUAACACGUGGGUAACCUACCUAUAAGACUGGGAUAACUUCGGGAAACCGGAGCUAAUACCGGAUAAUAUUCGAACCGCAUGGUUCGAUAGUGAAAGAUGGUUUUGCUAUCACUUAUAGAUGGACCCGCGCCGUAUUAGCUAGUUGGUAAGGUAACGGCUUACCAAGGCGACGAUACGUAGCCGACCUGAGAGGGUGAUCGGCCACACUGGAACUGAGACACGGUCCAGACUCCUACGGGAGGCAGCAGCC
rnacentral:rRNA from 1 species